GGGGAUGAUCGGCUUUGAGGGCGACACCGUGUCAUCUGGGCGUGUACGAGUGGGAUGCGCCUCUCGUUAAUCAAUCGCAUCACUCAACAAAUGCUAAGUCAUUUGGAAACGCAGCCCGAGACUACGUUCGUGGUCUCUCAGUUGCGCCAGCUCUUGCCUAACUUUAGGUAAUAGCCAUCUCCCGCAGGCACCCCGCGGCUUGCGAUCGAGGUGUUAUCUUAGCGGGGUUGGUGUUCUGCAGGUUUCUGGUAGAACACCGAGAACUCGUGAAACCCGCAACGUAGUUUUUGGCCGCGCUUAGAGCCACGUUGUCAGAUACCAAGCGCGGAGAGUACACGUGGACAGAUCAUACGAGGUUAGCUCCACGCGGGUUCGAUUCCCGCCAUCUCCACCA
rnacentral:tmRNA from 1 species